rnacentral:ncRNA from 1 species
CUUUUGGAGAGUUUGAUCCUGGCUCAGGACGAACGCUGGCGGCGUGCCUAAUACAUGCAAGUCGAGCGGAC